rnacentral:rRNA from 1 species
ACAUGCCUACAACAUAGAAUUGAUGCACCAGAUCCAAUUAGAACUCUGUAGUUAAGUGCACUCAGGAUAGAAUAGUACUGGGAUGGGUGACCGCCCAGAAAGUUAUAGUGUUUUACAUGCG